GGCGUAGGCGGCCUAUUAAGUCAGAUGUGAAAGCCCCGGGCUCAACCUGGGAACUGCAUUUGAUACUGGUAGGCUAGAGUUUGGUAGAGGGUGACGGAAUUCCAGGUGUAGCGGUGAAAUGCGUAGAUAUCUGGAGGAACAUCAGUGGCGAAGGCGGUUGCCUGGACCAAAACUGACGCUGAGGUGCGAAAGCGUGGGGAGCAAACA
rnacentral:rRNA from 1 species